UGACUUCUUCCAUUAGUUCCUAAGAAAUCUGCUCGAGGUCGUCGUUGGUCUUAGAUUGAGGCGCAAUUCAAUUUUUCGAGAUAAUCGAGAUUGUUUGAGGUCCGGUCCCUUGAUUUCGUCCUAGUUCGAGUGUUGUUUCGAAUUUCAGUUGUAGUGCGCCAUUCUGUCUAUCCUAGUUGCUGAAUUUUUUGUCUAUUGAAAGUUUUGCAGAUUCGAGGUAGUCGGAGGCAUCGAGGUGCUGUCCGUUGGUUUUCCAGCUUAAUUUUUAAUGACUUUGUUUGAAGCUAUGUCGAUUUCCGGCUGCAAUUGUUGCCUCGUUUCAGUAUGUGUUAAUCUUGAAAAGCUCUAACUUCAGGUUUUUCUCAUCUUUCUCUUUAAUAUUGAGUUUUCUCUAUAUGUGAUAAAAUAUAAUGGGAGUCAGAGUCCGAAAUUGAAAUGAUAAUAAAGUGGACUGAAACUUCUUUUUUAAUGUUUAAAAAAAAUUUACAUUUACACCUAUUUUGCAGUAUUUUACUGCAAAUU
rnacentral:lncRNA from 1 species